rnacentral:rRNA from 1 species
UACGUAGGGUCCAAGCGUUAUCCGGAAUCACUGGGCGUAAAGCGUACGUAGGUGGCGCGUUAAGUGAGAUGUUAAAUCGUGUGGCUCAACCAUAUCGAUGCGUCUCAUACUGGCGUGCUAGAGGACAGCAGAGGCAAGUGGAAUUACGAGUGUAGCAGUGAAAUGCGUAGAGAUUCGUAGGAACACCAAUGGCGAAGGCAGCUUGCUGGGCUACUCCUGACACUGAGGUACGAAAGCGUGGGGAGCGAAC